GUAAACACUUGGGUGUCUUUCUGUUCCAGCUGCGCCGCAUGCAGGAGAUGAUUGCCCAGAUGCAAGCCCAGAUGAGAAUGAAACCUGGUGAUGACUAAGGUGCUUAACAUCUGGAUGAAUCAGCAGCUUACGGUUCUCUAAGUGGAUGGGUGCUCUCUUUUCUUUGCCCGAGUGGUAACGUUCCAAUGCAAAAGCUGGAUGCCACAGACCAAGACCUGCGUUAAAGCAAACACAAAGUCCGAAGAUCGUGUUGUAAAACUGCUUGUUUUAUAUACUCAAUGUUAUUCAACUCAUAGUGUAUCUUUUUUGAUUCUUUUGGUAAAACUGUCUUCAUACUUACCAAUGUGGUUUUAUUAUCCUACCUAUACCUUUUUAUUCAGACGCUGCCAAGAGUACACUGUUUGGACUAGCCAUUGUGGUGGAUUUAAGGAAUUAAUCAUUUAUCUGCUAGGUUGUUCUGAAUGGUUUUGUGGUUAAUACUAAGACUUUGUGGCCUGUUUACGGUAAACGUAUGUGUGUUUGCACAGUAUUAUAACUUUCACCUGCCAUUUUAGGUUAUGUAUCGUAUCAGUUUUUCAGAACUUUCUCUGUGCUUUUGUUGCUUUUGAAGCUUCAUCUCUGGUGAUUUGUAUUUGUGUGAUGUAUGAGAAAAUGUACAAAACGCCGAUGAUUCACCAGUGAUUGGAAAAAGCUGACUUUUCUAAAUCGCCGUGCCUUAACACACCAUAAAAACUCCACACACCAACAACUUGUGUGGAUGCCUCUGGAGGUUUGGCUUCAGGUCUCAACUAUUGAUGGCAAAAAUUUGUCACAGGCAUUUCUAUCUGUCAGCUGAGCGAUGGCAUGUACUGAUUUUUUAUAUAUACCAUAGCACUACUUUUCAUUGCAGUUUUGUAAUAAAUUGUAUGGAUGUGGAAAACACUGA